AGCAGCAGCAGCAGCAGCAACAGCAGCAGCCUCACUAGACAUGCGCCAGUUUUGUUUCCAAAUUUGUAAUCAGCAGUGAGCAAGAUCUUCGAAUUAAUACAGCAAUAUGUUAUAUUACUGUAGUAAGAUAAUAAAUAGUCUGUGAACAAAACAAUCCAAAUUUGGCUAUCUAUGACAGUUAUUGCACGUGGCC